rnacentral:lncRNA from 1 species
AUGUAGUAGAGAAGUGGUGAUCCACAGGAAGUGACAUAUCAGGGCGACUCAUAUAUAAACAAGGGCAAGAAGGAAGUGGGCCCCUUCUCCUUUACUCCAGACUCACCAUGUGAUCCACCGGCAAGAGAGGGCACCAGGGAAGGCAUCCUCUAUAAGAUAAGUCUUAUAAAAUACAUAGAUUUAUGAUAAUUAAGACUGAGCUAACAGAUGAGAAAUCCUAGUCAUUGGCCAAGCAGCAUUUGUACCUAAUAGAAGUCUCUGUGUAUUAUUUGGGGCCCUAACUCGGCAGGCAGAACUCCGGCGGCUGGCAGAAAGCGCCCAUGUGGUGGUAGGACUCUGGUGGCUUUUGGCGGAAAGAUUUAUCGUAACAGAGGCUCUUGUCUCCCUCACUGGAAUUUAAAAGGUAAUGGGAUGAUUUAGUGGUUGGGUCUUCCUCCUCCUGGAAUGUGUCUGGUAAAAUGCCCCAAGUGUGAGCCAGUGCACCGGACCUGUGUUCAGGACUUGCCGGAGAUUCUUUUUCAGGCUGAUGGCAAAGAGCUUUUGAUGGACAAUAUCUCAAUUCUAACCAAUCUGUUAAAUUCCUAUUUUUAGAUACCCAUUAGUAGAACCCAAAAAACCAGACUCCUCUGUUUCCAAUAAACUUUUUCUGGAAACACAUAAACAAGCACUAUUACGACUUUUACUUUGCCCCUACCAGAAUACACCACCCUGCUUGGAAAUAGUGUAAACACCAGAGAGCUUUUGUGAACCGUAUGCACUCUGCCCUCCUCUCUCCUUUCUCUCCUCUGCUUCCUUCUCUGCUGGCUGAACCCAGGGCUUCACACACGCUAGGCCUGGUACUGCUGAGCUCUACUCCAACCCCUAUUGACUAUGUACACUUUAAUUCUGUUUUUCCAACACAGGGUUUCUCUGCAUAGCUCCAGCUGUCCUGGAACUAGCUCUGUAGACCAGGCUGGCCUCGAACUCAAAGAGGCCAGAAGAAGGCAUUGGGUCCCAGGAACUGGAAUUACAGAUGGUGCGAGCUGCUGUUGCUGUGUAGGUGCUGGGGCUCGAACCCUGGUCCUCUUUAAAGAAUCUGGCAGAGUGAAGUGGAAUGGGCCAAGGCUGUACACCCCCGAUGCCUGCUCUCAAUGA